rnacentral:tRNA from 1 species
GCCGCGAUGGCCGAGUGGUUAAGGCGUUGGACUCGAAAUCCAAUGGGAUAUUCCCGCGCAGGUUCGAAUCCUGUUCGUAGCG